CUCCAUCUUCGAGUCAACAUGGUUAACAUCCGUGCUUUUAAUUUCAUUCACCAACUCCAUAGUACUGCUUCGACGCAUGGCUCCUGAAGUGCCCUGUCAUGCCCAUCAAAUUUAAAACACCAAUAGAUUAUAAACUGACACAUUUAACGAGGGACCAUGUUUGUAUGUAUACUCACCCCUAACGCGGUACUCAGCUCGGGGGAAUUUGGGGGCACCCUGUUAGGACGAUCUGCCUCCGAAUCACUAGACUGCAGUAAGACUGGUGCGCUUCUCCGCCAGUCCAGCGUGCUCUUUGUGUACAUGCAUGUCCUACGGGGCAGGUCGGCUCUUGUGGUCGAGCCAGUUGUUGACAUCGUGGCUAAUAUUGUACUUGGUGCUCUCAAAGACUCGGAUCCUCUUCCUGUAGCCCCAUCAGGCCUCAUAAUCCUGAUUCUCUGACCCUUGGUCGCCCGCUCCUUGGAAGAGGUCAGAUGGACAGGUUGCUUCAAACCACUCAAUUCUACCACUGCUGCUAUACUCAGUAAGGCGUCUGACUGGAUUUCCAAACGGCGUUUGGCACGAACACAAGUUAUGAGAAAAUUGACUUCCCCCCCUAAACCUUCCUGACUGAAAAUGAUACCAGCUGUGAUAGAACAAGAUAAAUUUUGGACAGAGACAGAGACUUGAGCUAACCUCAGUCUUUGUGGAAUACUGGAAGAUCAUCUCCUGGUUACUAACUAUUACUGCCUCCUGACUGGAGCAACAAUCAUAUCUUCUGCCUGAGGUUACUAUGGCUGCUCUUGUGUCUUCUACCUUGAACAAUCAGAGAAAAUGAAGAAAGCACACUGAUGUACAGUUUUCAUGUGUUUAAUGUUUUAAUUACAAACCCCCACUGCUAUAUUUCAUGUUACAAAGCAUAUGAAAACCAAUGCAUUCCAUGACUGCAUUUAACACCCAUCAGCCUUAAGAAAGGUGAAGACAGAUUCAUUGUAAAGUGCAAUUGUUUUGUAUAUAAUACUGAAACUAAUGUACAAAAGUACACAUGGGCCCAUAUUCAGUAUGUGCCAGAGUAUACCAUCACAACUUUGAUUUAAAGCUUAUUAUAUGAUGUCAAAAAAAGCUCCGGAUUGUUUUCAACAUACAA